GCAGGCCUAACACAUGCAAGUCGAGCGCGAAAACACUUCGGUGUGAGUAGAGCGGCGGACGGGUGAGUAAUGCUUGGGAAUCUGCCCAGUAGUGGGGGAUAACGUGUGGAAACGCACGCUAAUACCGCAUACGUCCUACGGGAGAAAGCAGGGGAUCUUCGGACCUUGCGCUAUUGGAUGAGCCCAAGUCGGAUUAGCUAGUUGGUGGGGUAAUGGCCUACCAAGGCGACGAUCCGUAGCUGGUCUGAGAGGAUGAUCAGCCACACUGGGACUGAGACACGGCCCAGACUCCUACGGGAGGCAGCAGUGGGGAAUAUUGCACAAUGGGCGAAAGCCUGAUGCAGCCAUGCCGCGUGUGUGAAGAAGGCUCUAGGGUUGUAAAGCACUUUCAGUAGGGAGGAAAAGCUUGAGGUUAAUAACCUUGAGCCCUGACGUUACCUACAGAAGAAGCACCGGCAAACUCCGUGCCAGCAGCCGCGGUAAUACGGAGGGUGCGAGCGUUAAUCGGAAUUACUGGGCGUAAAGCGCGCGUAGGUGGUUUGAUAAGCUAGCUGUGAAAGCCCCGGGCUCAACCUGGGAACUGCAGUUAGAACUGUCUGACUAGAGUACAGUAGAGGGUGGCGGAAUUUCCUGUGUAGCGGUGAAAUGCGUAGAUAUAGGAAGGAACAUCAGUGGCGAAGGCGGCCACCUGGACUGAUACUGA
rnacentral:rRNA from 1 species